rnacentral:rRNA from 1 species
UUGCACCCACCGAAGUCAAGGAGUGGCGGACGGGUGAGUAACACGUGGGUAACCUGCCCAUAAGAGGGGGAUAACAUUCGGAAACGGAUGCUAAUACCGCAUAUUUCUAAACGUCACAUGACGAAUAGAAGAAAGGUGGCUUCGGCUACCGCUUAUGGAUGGACCCGCGGCGUAUUAGCUAGUUGGUGAGGUAAUGGCUCACCAAGGCGAUGAUACGUAGCCGACCUGAGAGGGUGAUCGGCCACACUGGGACUGAGACACGGCCCAGACUCCUACGGGAGGCAGCAGUAGGGAAUCUUCCGCAAUGGACGAAAGUCUGACGGAGCAAUGCCGCGUGAGUGAAGAAGGUUUUCGGAUCGUAAAACUCUGUUGUUAGAGAAGAACAAGGAUGAGAGUAACUGCUCAUCCCCUGACGGUAUCUAACCAGAAAGCCACGGCUAACUACGUGCCAGCAGCCGCGGUAAUACGUAGGUGGCAAGCGUUGUCCGGAUUUAUUGGGCGUAAAGCGAGCGCAGGCGGUUCUUUAAGUCUGAUGUGAAAGCCCCCGGCUC